CUUGAUGUGGGGGAUACCAUUGGAGACGAUGGCUAAUACCGCAUAAUGCCUACGGGCCCAAGAGGGGGACCUUCGGGCCUCUCGCGUCAAGAUAUGCCCUAGGUGGGAUUAGCUAGUUGGUGAGGUAAUGGCUCACCAAGGCGACGAUCACUAGCUGGUCUGAGAGGAUGAUCAAGCACACUGGAACUGAGACACGGUCCAGACUCCUACGGGAGGCAGCAGUGGGGAAUAUUGCACAAUGGGCGAAAGCCUGAUGCAGCCAUGCCGAGUGUAUGAAGAAGGCCUUCGGGUUGUACAGUACUUUCAGUUGUGAGGAAGGGGGUGUCGUUAAUAGCGGCAUCUCUUGACGUUAGCAACAGAAGAAGCACCGGCUAACUCCGUGCCAGCAGACGCGGUAAUACGGAGGGUGCGAAGCGUUAAUCGGAAUUCACUGGGCGUAAAGCGCAUGCAAGUGGCUCAUUAAGUCAGAUGUUGAAAGCCCCGGGGCUCAACCUCGGUACUGCUAUUUGAUUCUGUUGAACUAGAGUACUGUAUAUGGGGUUAGUAUUUCAGUUGUAGCGGUUAAAUGCGUAGAGAUCUGAAGGAAUACCAGUGGCGAAGGCGGCCUCCUGGACAGAUACUGACACUCAGAUGCGAAAGCUUGGGGAUCAUACAGGAUAAGAUACCCUGGUAGUCCACGCCGUAUACGAUGUCUACUUGGAGGUUGUGGCCUUGAGCCGUGGCUUUCGGAGCUAACGCGUUAAGUAGACCGCCUGGGGAGACGGUCGCAAGAUUAAUACUCAAAUGAAUUGACGGGGGCCCGCACAAGCGGUGGAGCAUGU
rnacentral:rRNA from 1 species